rnacentral:misc_RNA from 1 species
UCCGAGUUGUCCACGCCGUAAACGAUGAGUGCUUGGUGUAGCGGGUAUCGACCCCUGCUGUGCCGAAGUCAACACAUUAAGCACUCCGCCUGGGGAGUACGGUCGCAAGACUGAAACUCAAAGGAAUUGACGGGGGCCCGCACAAGCGGCGGAGCAUGCGGCUUAAUUCGAUGCGACGCGAAGAACCUUACCUGGGCUUGACAUGCAGGGUGAAACCCGUGAAAGCGGGUGCUCUUCGGAGCCUGCACAGGUGCUGCAUGGCUGUCGUCAGCUCGUGUCGUGAGAUGUUGGGUUAAGUCCCGCAACGAGCGCAACCCUCGCCCUUAGUUGCCAGCAUUCAGUUGGGCACUCUAAGGGGACUGCCGGUGAUAAGCCGCGAGGAAGGUGGGGAUGACGUCAA